UGUAACACCCCCUCCUCAACUCAGGACUGAACUAGUGAUUCCAUCUUGGGCCCAGCUAAACGGGGUCCAGUCCCCUCCCUAACUGGAUGGACUCGGAAAGUACACUCAGGAGGAAGGAAUUCAUCAAAUUGGAAGAUACUGAAUCCAGAAAUGAGCCCUAGAGACAAGAAGCAUGUAUGGAUGUCAUAGAACAUCUCAUUUGUGGGAUACAAAAGCUCUGCCCCUGGAUAAAGGCCGAGAAGACUACAGUUAUACUUUAGGAC